rnacentral:rRNA from 1 species
UACGAAGGGGGCUAGCGUUGCUCGGAAUCACUGGGCGUAAAGGGCGCGUAGGUGGCGCGCUAAGUCGGGUGUGAAAUUUCGGAGCUUAACUCCGAAACUGCAUUCGAUACUGGCGUGCUUGAGGACUGGAGAGGAGACUGGAAUUUACGGUGUAGCAGUGAAAUGCGUAGAUAUCGUAAGGAAGACCAGUGGCGAAGGCGGGUCUCUGGACAGUUCCUGACACUGAGACACGAAGGCCAGGGGAGCAAACGGG